rnacentral:rRNA from 1 species
CCUACGGGGGGCAGCAGUGGGGAAUAUUGGGCAAUGGGCGCAAGCCUGACCCAGCAACGCCGCGUGAAGGAAGAAGGCUUUCGGGAUGUAAACUUCUUUUAAGAGGGAAGAGCAGAAGACGGUACCUAUUGAAAAAGCCACGGCUAACUACGUGCCAGCAGCCGGGGUAAUACGUAGGGGGCAAGCGUUGUCCGGAUUUACUGGGUGUAAAGGGCGUGUAGCCGGGCAGACAAGUCAGAGGUGAAAUCCCGUGGCUCAACCACGGAACUGCACUUGAAACUGUCGGUCUUGAGUCUGGGAGAGGCAGGCGGAAUUCCUAGUGUAGCGGUGAAAUGCGUAGAUAUUAGGAGGAACACCGGCGGCGAAGGCGGCCUGCUGGACGGCGACUGACGUUGAGGCGCGAAAGCGUGGGGAGCAAACAGGAUUAGAUACCCUUGUAGUC